rnacentral:rRNA from 1 species
GAUGAACGCUGGCGGCGUGCUUAACACUUGCAAGUCGAACGAAGCACUUUAUUUGAUUUCCUUCGGGACUGAUUAUUUUGUGACUGAGUGGCGGACGGGUGAGUAACGCGUGGGUAACCUGCCUUGUACAGGGGGAUAACAGUUGGAAACGGCUGCUAAUACCGCAUAAGCGCACGGCAUCGCAUGAUGCAGUGUGAAAAACUCCGGUGGUAUAAGAUGGACCCGCGUUGGAUUAGCUAGUUGGUGAGGUAACGGCCCACCAAGGCGACGAUCCAUAGCCGACCUGAGAGGGUGACCGGCCAAAUUGGGACUGAGACACGGCCCAAACUCCUACGGGAGGCAGCAGUGGGGAAUAUUGCACAAUGGGCGAAAGCCUGAUGCAGCGACGCCGCGUGAGCGAAGAAGUGUUUCGGUAUGUAAAGCUCUAUCAGCAGGGAAGAUAAUGACGGUACCUGACUAAGAAGCACCGGCUAAAUACGUG